GAGAAGCAAUACCGCGAGGUGGAGCAAAACUUCAAAAAUAGGUCUCAGUUCGGACUGUAGGCUGCAACUCGCCUACACGAAGUUGGAAUUGCUAGUAAUCGUGGAUCAGCAUGCCACGGUGAAUACGUUCCCGGGUCUUGUACACACCGCCCGUCACACCAUGGGAGCUGGUAACACCCGAAGUCAGUAGUCUAACCGCAAGGAGGACGCUGCCGAAGGUGGGAUUAGCGACUGGGGUGAAGUCGUAACAAGGUAAC
rnacentral:rRNA from 1 species